UACGGAGGAUGCAAGCGUUAUCCGGAGUGAUUGGGCGUAAAGCGUCCGCAGGUGGCUAUGUAAGUCUGCUGUUAAAGAGUCAUGCUCAACAUGAUAAGAGCAGUGGAAACUACAUGGCUAGAGUGCGUUCGGGGCAGAGGGAAUUCCUGGUGUAGCGGUGAAAAGCGUAGAUAUCAGGAAGAACACCGGUGGCGAAGGCGCUCUGCUAGGCCGCAGCUGACACUGAGGGACGAAAGCUAGCGGAGCGAAUGGG
rnacentral:rRNA from 1 species